UACAGAGGGGGCAAGCGUUGUUCGGAAUUACUGGGCGUAAAGGGCGCGUAGGCGGCCCGCUAAGUCGAACGUGAAAUCCCCGGGCUCAACCCGGGAACUGCGUCCGAUACUGGCAGGCUUGAAUCCGGGAGAGGGAUGCGGAAUUCCAGGUGUAGCGGUGAAAUGCGUAGAUAUCUGGAGGAACACCGGUGGCGAAGGCGGCAUCCUGGACCGGCAUUGACGCUGAGGCGCGAAAGCGUGGGGAGCGAACAGG
rnacentral:rRNA from 1 species